rnacentral:pre_miRNA from 1 species
GUAGUACUUCCUCCGUCCGAAAAUACUUGUUAUAUAAAUGAAUGUAUCUAUAUGUUAGUUCUACAUACAUUUAUUUUUAUUAAUUUUUGCGACAAGUAAUUUCAAACGAAGGGAGUAUGCA